ensembl:snRNA U6 U6 spliceosomal RNA
GUGCUCACUUUGGUAACACAUAUACUAAAAUUGGAAUGAUACAGAGAAUAUUAGCAUGGCCCCUGUGCAAGGAUUACAUGCAAAUUCAUGAAGCAUUCCAUAUUUUU